rnacentral:rRNA from 1 species
UGGGGAAUAUUGCACAAUGGGCGAAAGCCUGAUGCAGCAACGCCGCGUGAGUGAUGAAGGCCUUCGGGUUGUAAAGCUCUGUCUUUUGGGACGAUAAUGACGGUACCAAAGGAGGAAGCCACGGCUAACUACGUGCCAGCAGCCGCGGUAAUACGUAGGUGGCAAGCGUUGUCCGGAUUUACUGGGCGUAAAGGAUGCGUAGGCGGAUUUUUAAGUGAGAUGUGAAAUACCCGGGCUUAACUUGGGUGCUGCAUUUCAAACUGGGAAUCUAGAGUGCGGGAGAGGAGAAUGGAAUUCCUAGUGUAGCGGUGAAAUGCGUAGAGAUUAGGAAGAACACCAGUGGCGAAGGCGAUUCUCUGGACCGUAACUGACGCUGAGGCAUGAAAGCGUGGGUAGCAAACAGGAUUAGAUACCCUGAUAGUCCACGCCGUAAACGAUGAGUACUAGGUGUAGGAGGUAUCGACCCCUUCUGUGCCGCAGUUAACACAAUAAGUACUCCGCCUGGGAAGUACGAUCGCAAGA